UAUGCAGGACAGGUGAUCGCAGCUGCAAGUACCGAAAGGUCGCAGGUGAGGAAAGUCCGGGCUUCACAGGGCAGGAUGCCGGUUAACGGCCGGUAGGGGAAACCCUCAGGACAGUGCAACAGAAAUAAACCGCCACGCAAGUGGUAAGGGUGGAAAGGCAGUGCAAGAGACUACCGCCAUCUUGGUAACAAGGUGGGCACAUGUAAACCCCAUUUGAAGCAAAACCGAAUAUAAGCGUUGACGUGGCCCGCUAGCUUAAGGUAGGUUGCUUGAGGUAAUUGGUAACAGUUAUCCUAGAUAGAUGAUCAUCCACGACAUAACCCGGCUUAUCGUUCUGCUAAGUUA
rfam:Lachnobacterium bovis DSM 14045 genome assembly, contig: IE72DRAFT_scaffold00008.8